CCUCACGCGAUCACGCCAGCCCUACCCUGCCGCCUCGCCGCCUUGAUGUGGCGCCGGGCGCCAGCGCGAUCUAGGUCUGCACCAAGGAUCAGAUUAUAGACCAUUUUCAUGGCCUAAAGGGUCAUACAGUCCAUCUACCAAAUCCCUGAUGUAUAACUACAACUUAGUGGUACCUAAGGGACUUGAAGAUUAACGAUUUUGGAUUAAAUCAUGGAAGAUUCAGCGGCGGCAAUUCAAGUUAAACUUUAUAUGUUUUUUUGCGUUUAAAUAUAUUUUUCGCCUAGUUCUUGAGAAUGAAACUAUAUUGAACAAUUCAUUUGUUCAUUGUCUUGCCUGAAUGCAUAGUCUUGGUCAAUUAAU